rnacentral:tRNA from 1 species
UUUAGGGAGACCAUAUGAGAGUUGACUGAACAUAAAAUCUAGGUCACUCAUCAGUUAUCCCUGGUCGUUCGAGAAAUAGAUGUCAAAGCUUUCAAACUAUUAACUGGUUCGGGAAAUGGGCUAUUAGCUCAGUUGGUUAGAGCGCACCCCUGAUAAGGGUGAGGUCCCUGGUUCAAAUCCAGGAUGGCCCACCUGGAAACAAAAGUAAUGAAUUUAAAGCAAUGAUUCCUGGAUGAUUAAUCUCAGAAUCAGGGCAGAAAAAUCAGAACUUUCUUAGUGGGGGUAUAGCUCAGUUGGUAGAGCGCCUGCCUUGCACGCAGGAAGUCAGCGGUUCGAGUCCGCUUACCUCCACUCUCACUAGCUAUCUAACUACAAAGACCAUCAAAGCCGAGAACAGAAAUCAGCACCCAGACUAUUCAAAAAAAGUCGGAAUGCUGGAGUCUAGAACUCUAGUCAGAACCUUGAAAACUGCAUAGAAAUUAAGUCAUCAUUCAGCAGGUAAGUGAUCCGAUGCGUCGGAAAAUCUUACUAGCGACCACCAUCAAAGAAGAAAGUGUCAA